CUUUGUCAUUCCUUUGCUUUUCUUAGCAAAUGCUCAAUACAGAGCUAUACUUGGACAAAUCCAUCUGCUGAGGAAGGCAAUGAAUGCUUUGGAAAAAAACAAGUGCACACUAUUGCCUCUGGGGGAGCCAAUAAUGCCACAUGAUUCAGUGCUUUAAAAAGGUGGACCUUUUAAAAGAACGUUGCUCUUUUUACAACCAUAAUAUGCAAACGCACACAUCACUGUGCAACCCUGCAACCUCACUCUGGAGACAUGAACACAUGGCCCUCUACUCUAUAAAUAAAGACAUUGUUGAAACAUUAA